UUAUUUUCGUCUACUGUGUUUCUUCUUCAUUGUUUACCUUAAUUCUUUACCUCUGCUUCACUAGAAACGAGAAAACAUCUUUGAAAUAGUAUAGAAAUUAGACACCGAUAAUAUUUUAUGUUUACUUUCACAUAUGGUUAGAUUACAUUAGUUAUCUCGUGGAAUCGAAGGCUAUAGUGGAGAGAUCUUUGUCAGGACAACUGUGUAAUCUUUUGUUAACGGCAAUUUCUACGUAAUUCAGAAUCUGGUUGGCAUGAAGGUAUUCAAAGAUACCAAAAGACAUAUUUUGAAACUCAAAAUUUGGUUGACUGCGUAGCUUUUCCUAGCACAGUAAAUUUUGCAACCGAAAUCAUUGAAAAAGAGGCCGAAGUGCUCAAUGGAAUGAAGAAACGAUUUUAGGUUUCUUGUCGGGAGUACUAUUCCGACAAGUUACAAAUUAGACCUUCUGGUUCUAUGAGUGGGAUUCAAAAGUUCUUUUCAAUUCUUUGCUACAUGUGUACAAUGGAAUUCUUAACGACAGCUUCAAAUAAAACUCAAGUUUGCAGAAGGUGAUCAACUAGCAAUAGCAAAGGAAACAUGGCACGGUUUAGGAAUGGGCACCAACAAAACGUAUCCUUCAUCUUCUUUACUAAGAAAUAACAAAGACAAAUCAAUUGCUGUAUUGUUCGUUGAUGAGCUGAUUGGAAAGGUUGAAAACUUUGUUAGUGUGUGCAAUUUCUCAUUACAUAAUAUCUUUACAUGGAUACUGGUUAAACUAAAAUUUGCAUAUAUUUUAUUUUUUAAUUUGUCUUUCGCUUUAAACACGACGAUCAUACUUUUCUUAAUUUAAUAAGAAUCUUUAAAGUGAUAUUCAAUUAUUGUAUUGCAUUUU